ACAUAACUGAUGCCUCCGCGUAUCGACUUUGUGCGCAUUUUAGCUAUUAUGUGUUCUUUUAAUUAAAAUGAUUCUUUUUAAGAUUCAUCUAUUAAAAAUUUGCUUCGGCAUAAUUUUUUUUGAUGAUCUUGUUACUUUGAGUAAAUUAGAGUGUUCAAAGCAAACAGAUAUAGCAUUUGUGCGUUUGAAUACUACAGCAUGGAAUAACAAAAUUGAACAAGUCAGAAUUUUUUUGUUCUUUUUUCUUAUUUUGGCUUAGUUACGAUUAAUAGGAGUAGCUUGGGGGCAUUUGUAUUCAGAUGUCAGAGGUGAAAUUCUUAGAUUUUCUGGAGACAAACAACUGCGAAAGCAUUUGCCUAAAAUACUUCCAUUAAUCAAGAACGAAAGUUAAGGGAGUGAAGACGAUCAGAUACCGUCGUAAUCUUAACCAUAAACUAUGCCGACUAGGCUUUGGAUGAAAGAUUUUAAAAUAAGAGUUUUUCUUUUCUCUCCGGAGAUUAGAACUCUUAGAUUGCUUCCUUCAGUGCCUUAUGAGAAAUCAAAGUCUUUGGGUUCUGGGGCGAGUAUUCGCGCAAGCGAGAAAGUUAAAAGAAUUGACGGAAGGGCACCCCCAGGCGUGGAGCUUGCGGCUUAAUUUGACUCAACACGGGAAAACUCACUAGUUUAAGACAAGAGUAGGAUUAACAGAUUAAUAGCUCUUUCUUGAUUUCUUGGAUGGUGAUGCAUGGCCGUUUUUAGUUCGUGAAUAUGAUUUGUCUGGUUAAUUCCGAUAACGAACGAGAUCUUAACCUGCUAAUUAGCGGCAAAUACGAUAUAUUCUUAUGUAGAAUUGAAUAUAGUGGAUUUGUUAGAUUUUGAAGAAAAUAUUGGAAUUACGUUAAAUGUGAUUCCUUUCCCUUUUCUACUUAAUUUACAUUUCCAUCUAUUUCUUUUUUGCGUAUGAAUGUAUUUGCUUGAUUGUAAAGCUUCUUAGAGGAACGAUGUGUG
rnacentral:rRNA from 1 species